GAUGUGGAUAGAAUGAGGUUUGAUCGAAAUGUUGCUCUGUUCGUCUUUAGGAAUCAAGUUUUCUGGACAGAAUCUCUUGACAGUACUGUUCUUUUCUGCUUAUUGAAUUUCAGAAUUUUGGUCCAAGUUCUUAGUAGAUACGGCUAGUUUGGGUGAUGUUUUUCUUCUUCCUCCUGGUUUUGAAGGUUGAACAGAGCGAUGGGUGUUAAGAUGUGACCAAGAUACUUUAUUCUCCUGUCGUUAUGGAAUGGUUGAAUUGAAUUGAUUAGUAGUGAGUCCUCUUACUAGAAGUCAAGUUUUUCCAUGAUGAUUUAGAUUCAGAUGGAUGGAUUCAGUAUUGGUUUUCUAGGACACUGCUACGAGCCAAGUGUUCCGAAGUGGAGACAGCCUAGCACGAUCGACAAGUAAAGGUUACAGAUAAAUGAGUCAUGGA